rnacentral:rRNA from 1 species
UACGGGGGGGGCAAGCGUUGUUCGGAAUUACUGGGCGUAAAGGGCUCGUAGGUGGCCAACUAAGUCAGACGUGAAAUCCCUCAGCUUAACUGGGGAACUGCGUCUGAUAUUGGAUGGCUUGAGUUUGGGAGAGGGACGCGGAAUUCCAGGUGUAGCGGUGAAAUGCGUAGAUAUCUGGAGGAACACCGGUGGCGAAGGCGGCGUCCUGGACCAACACUGACACUGAUGAGCGAAAGCCAGGGGAGCAAACGGG